rnacentral:rRNA from 1 species
CAGGAUGAACGCUAGCGACAGGCUUAACACAUGCAAGUCGAGGGCAGCAUAGAAGUAGCAAUACUUGGUGGCGACCGGCGCGACGGGUGAGUAACGCGUAUGCAACCUACCUAUCAGAGGGGAAUAACCGGCGAAAGUCGGACUAAUACCGCAUAAAACAGGGGCACCGCAUGGUGAUAUUUGUUAAAGAAAUUCGCUGAUAGAUGGGCAUGCGUUCCAUUAGGUAGUUGGUGAGGUAACGGCUCACCAAGCCGACGAUGGAUAGGGGAACUGAGAGGUUGGUCCCCCACACUGGUACUGAGACACGGACCAGACUCCUACGGGAGGCAGCAGUGAGGAAUAUUGGUCAAUGGGCGGGAGCCUGAACCAGCCAAGUCGCCGUGAAGGAAGAAGGAUCUAUGGUUCGUAAACUUCUUUUGCAGGGGAAUAAAGUGCAGGACGUGUCCUGUUUUGUAUGUACCCUGAGAAUAAGGAUCGGCUAACUCCGUGCCAGCCGCCGC